rnacentral:rRNA from 1 species
UACGAGGGGGGCAAGCGUUGUUCGGAAUUAUUGGGCGUGAAGGGCGCGUAGGCGGUUUGACAAGUCUUAUGUGAAAUCUCUGGGCUCAACCCAGAGUCUGCAUGGGAAACUGUCGGGCUUGAGUAUGGGAGAGGUGAGUGGAAUUUCCGGUGUAGCGGUGAAGUGCGUAGAUAUCGGAAGGAACACCUGUGGCGAAAGCGGCUCACUGGACCAUAACUGACGCUGAGGCGCGAAAGCUAGGGGAGCAAACAGG